UGGGGAAUUUUGGACAAUGGGCGAAAGCCUGAUCCGGCAAUGCCGCGUGCAGGACGAAGGCCUUCGGGUCGUAAACCUCUGUCACCGGGGAAGAAACACUGCAUAUUAAUCGUAUGCAGUCUGACUUAACCCGGAGAGGAAGCAGUGGCUAACUCUGUGCCAGCAGCCGCGGUAAUACAGAGACUGCAAGCGUUAUUCGGAUUCACUGGGCGUAAAGGGUGCGCAGGCGGUCGUGUGUGUCAGGUGUGAAAUCCCGGAGCUUAACUCCGGAACUGCGUCUGAAACUACACGACUAGAGCAUUGGAGAGGGAAGUGGAAUUCAUGGUGUAGCAGUGAAAUGCGUAGAUAUCAUGAGGAACACCAGAGGCGAAGGCGACUUCCUGGACAAUUGCUGACGCUCAGGCACGAAAGCAUGGGGAGCAAAAGGG
rnacentral:rRNA from 1 species